GUUAUUUAUUCCUGCCCUGUAAUUAGGCUCGCCUGCUAAAAAAAAAGUCGAUUUGUUUACCCCGAUGUUUCUUUCUCAUUAUGUCUGGAAUACAUCCCCGUGAGAAUUACUCUGCAUGCAGCCUACGGAGCAGAGAGGUAACCGGGUUGUUUUCUGCAGUGAUGGAUAGUUCUUGCUUUGUUCUUCAGAGGAAAUAACGCUCACUUUUUUUUCCUGUAUGGGUAUCAGUCAUGGAGCAAGAGCACAGUCAUUUGCAUGGACUGUAAAUUUAUUACCUGUGUCUGAACUGUGAACAGUAUCCAGGUGUACAUGAUGGGUGUAAUUCACAUUUUGAAUUUGCAAAUUGCAUUCAAAUUUUCAAACAUUGCUACACUGGGAACUUCAUUUCCAUUAACUCAUAACGUCAGUCAAAUCAGAAAUGAAAAAAUCUGCAGCUGAGCAUUUGGAAAAACGGACAUCGGUCUUUGCUUCAGUUAAAAAUGAAUCAUGUAGUGUUGUUUCAAAGGGUACAGUUAAGUAUAAGUAGAACAGUUGUAUUAAUGUUCAGUUUGGUCAUCUUUCAACAUGAUUAAGAAUCCACUUCCAUGGUAGCAGAUUUAUAAAGCUGUAUUUAACCACAGCACUGCUCUGAGCUACAUUUCUCAGUAGGACAAUUAUGCUAAACUAACAUUGAUCAACUGAUCAUGGUGCAGCAAUGAAAAACUAACCAGAGUCAUUUUGCUGAAUGAAAUAUGGAUACCUAAAUGAUAAUCUGAUUUUCUUAAAUUUAUUCAAUAGUUGUAGAGAUGUUUCACUAAACAACCUCAGCCACAAGAGGAAAAGGGGAGAAAUCACUUCCCAUUAAAUCUGGUUUAUAAGACACAAGUUUCACACUUGAGACCUUGGUGGUGACUUUUUUCUAAGUGCUAAAAACUGCAGUUCCUCACGUGACCACUUGAGGCUGGCUGCAAAAGUACCAGAAGCCACAUACACACCCAUUCUGUAAAACAUCUCUACUGUAUAAGAAACAAACCUUGCUAGAGUGGGGAGUGGGGGGCACACUGUGGCUGCUUGCAAGCUUAAUCCCAUCGCUUUGACUCAAGCUAGAUUGAUAUUCUGGAGUUUACGGUCAUAAAUUGGGAUCCCUCACUUGGGGACCAUGACUCUCUGGUUUGGGUUACAAAUUAUCUGGUGUUAGUCUGUCUUUUUCUGAAUGUAAAAAGCAGGGACAGACAGUACAAUCAUCAAUUAUGCCCAUCUGAACUCUGACAUGGUUGCUUUAAUGAUUUAACAGUUAAAUCCAUGAGCUACAGGACAAUUUGAACCUAUCUGGUGAGAGAUACACUUGUUUUCAGUCAGUAAUUAUCAAUGAUUAACAAGGAUUUGUUAGAAUUCAUUCACACACAAAACACAAUCAUUUUCCAAAGCCAUGAGCCUGUGAGCAAAUUAGGGUGCUUGAAUGCGGGGUUCAUAAGGCUAAAUAACAGAACGGUUAAUCCUACUGUAUUGUAGCUCAUAUUAAAUGGAUAUGAGGGAGAGGGGUCAGAGAAAUCAAUGAGGCUAAUGCACGGGUCAGUGUGUUAAAGUCUGUCAAUACAGCAUGAAUAACUGAAACCAAACAGCCAUCCUCACUUUCAGACUUUUUUUUUCAACAAACGCGAGGCAUUCAGAGGUGUAAAAAAAUAAAAAGUAGGCCAGUUCAUUUAAAGGUAUCAAGCCACAGAGAAAGAAACUAAAAAAAGGGUUAUUUUUGGUGUGUUUCUCGGUUCUAGCUCUCCAGUUUUUCUUCAGUGUCUGAUUCAAUAACAAUAAUAAAAAAAGGAAGUGAUAUACAGAUCACCAACUGUCUAGCGCUGGGAGGCCUUGCAUGAAAUCACACAUCUUGGAGCAGUGUUGCUCGCAGCUUGUCUCAGCAGGCUCCUUGUUAACAGGAUAGCGCCUCCAAAUCUGCUCCUGUAACACCUCCCAGCACGGGUCAUUACAGCAGAGAUCACUCCUGAUGCCCAAUCAGAUUGUAACACAAAGAAUUUCCGCCAGUCAUCAGGCAAAGCACAAUGGGACAAAUACUUAUAUGCAGUCAGUGAGCGGGCAUGAUAACAAUACCCUUAAAUAACAUGCAGACGGGCUGAGAGGGAAUUAGGAGGGGCUGGCUUGGCGCUCAGGCAGGCAUCAUUAUCACAUGGACCGCAGAUGAAUAGAUUUGGUGUGAUAGUAUGAACACACCCGAAUCCAUGUGUGACUGUGCAAUUACAGCACAUUUACUGCACCAGCUGCUGUAUAAAUCGAGGCGUGUGUGCAGCGUGGUGUGACAAACGCUCCCAGGAGAUGAGUGGUUGCUGGCUUUGAAGGUGAAAUAUAGCAGAAAUAUAUUCACACUUGAAGUUGUGUUAAGAGAAUAUUAAGUCACUGAUACGAUUGGACGAUACAGGAAUGUUAAAUGAGAUCAUAUCAGUCUAGUUAAUUCAGGAUGAAUGAAUCCCUGGACCACAGUGCGUUUAAAGACCUGUGAAUGUACUCUGUUUACACUCAAAUUCAAUUAUUAAACAUAACGUAGCCCCACUCAGUUAAGAUGAAACUACACACACAGCAACUCCUGAGUAAGCAACGAGGACUGAGCAAGAAAUAAAGGUUUGUAGUGGAGCUGUACUGGACUCACAGCUUUGCCAGUUGUCUGUUGAUAUCAGUAAACCCAUGUGAUGGACUGUUAACCUGCUCAGGGCGGACAGCAUAAUACUGUUCACCAAAUGAGGUGCAUUAGGCUCAGAUCCAUAAGCAAUGAGAAUACUGGGCAAACUAAAUGGAAAUAUCACAGACUUUAAAGUGUAAUAUUUGCAUAAAUACAGAACUGGAACACAAGCUAGGCUACAGUUUCCUGCAGACAAAGCAGGGUCCAGCACCUGAUGUAGUUCAUUUUAAAAAGGACUCUGACCCAAGCACUCAUCUCACUUAGGAUGCACAUUCCACUGAGACUGUUUUUCAGCGCUUAAUUCUACCAUUAGCAAGUCCAUUUGUUUUUGCACUAUGCGCACAUGUAACACAGAUGUGCUCUUCAGCAUGCAGCAAAAUCUAAUCAGGUCUAUGAUGUAUGACUCAGUGAUGUAUUGUAAACGUUGAAGCUCACUCUGAAACUCACUUUUGGGGAGUUGAUAUUGAUGAUUUAAAGCUUACGCCAAGCUGAUCUGGUGCCAGACAAAGAGAAGCUAGAAAUAAGGGGACACAAAGAUAAGUAAGGUGAUUAAAAGGAAAGCUGUCUGGAAAAGAUUAUGUUUAAUCCAAAAGUAAGCAACUGCUGCACUGGGCCUAUAACCCCUGGUUAGCAUAAGCUAUCUCAUACAAGCAGCUGCAAAGUGAGGGACAAUAUUUGGCUAUUGCUUCAAGCCUAACCUUCAUCCUAAAAUGGAUGGAGGGUUGGAUGAAUGGAUGAAUGCAUGAAUGGAUACACAGAUAAAGAGAUGUGCAGAUGAAUGCAUUUCUAUACUAUAUGACUGGUUAGAUGGGUGGAUGGAUGGAUGGAUAGAUGCUUGGAUAAAUACACAGACUGAUGGAUGCAUGGAUGAAGGUAAGCAAGGUUUGGUUGGUUGUUGAGAUAAACCCAUGGAUGGAUGGAUGCAUGAAUGAAUGCAUGGAUGGAUGCAUAGAUGAAAUUCAUGGAUUGAUGGAUAAACUCAGCAAUGGAUGGAUACAUGAAUGGUUGGAUGCAUGCUGAUAGAAAGGUGGAUGCAUCAAUAUCAGAUGGAUCCAUGGACAGAUGCAUACUUUAUGAAUGAAUGGAUGUUAAACGGAUAGACAGAUGCCUGAUGGGAUGGAUGGAUGAAGGGAACGAUGAAUGGAUGAGCCAGUUAUAAUCUAGCACUGAAUUCAGAGUACACUGGGGAAGUUUUGAGCAGCAGCACAAAGGCACAGUUUGUAGUUAGUCUGAGCCUGAAUCACUUUUUCUUUCAAAGUUGUCAUUACAUUUGAAAUGAUUAGUUUUAGUCUGAACACAGAUCAAAGAAAAUGAUCACCCACUAAAUAGGUUUGGUGAUGGUGGGAUUAUUUUUCAACAACAUCUCGUUUAAUUGCUCCCUGUAAAAGCUUAAUCUUUCCACUGGAAACGAUUUUAAUGUGGUUCUUCAGUUUUCACUUCAGAAACAGAUCUAAAUUUUUCCUUCACUGCUGAGCUCCUCUUUGUUCUUUUGCCACUUGACACGAGUCGGAGGUAAUUAUGUGCCUGUGAUGACAGGAAAUCAAGCCAACUGCUCUCUGAGCUCCCAGAGUGCCUCAUGGAAACUUUCUCCCUGCACUGUCACCAUGCCUGGAGUUUGCUCCGGUAGCCUCUCUUUCACUGCUGACAUCUUGUGAGACACUUGCAGUGAUGCUGCCAAUUAAGCUGUUCAUAACCCCAAGAUAGAGUAUUUGGCUUUUUAAGCUGGAUGCCAGAGUCACUUGAUGGAAAACGCAUUUUCUCUGAUGUAUUGAAGUCUUUUAGGAACAUUACUAUUCCUUCUGUGCACAGAACAAAGAUCCCUCCUUUGACUAAAAAACUCACUCCCCCAGCUUGAGGCGGCUCUUAUGAAGAGCAGAGGAGCAGUUUUGCAGAUUUAGGGAGUCGAAAUUCUUCAUUAUUGCAGGGACUUUUGGUUAUAGACAUAAACACUAGAUGGAGGGGAAAUGCUCCAAGACAAAACAGAUUAUACAUAAUCCUGGAGUGAUAUCUUUUUUUUCUAAAACUCUGCUCAAAAUGUAUGUUAGUGUUGAAUCUGAUAACCCUCACCAUAUGGUUGAAAUUUAGACUGGAUCAACGUGAGGAAAAGUGAGAACUUGAUUUUGCAUUUUUGACAGAUUUUUGUCAUUCUAACAACCUGAAAUAAUGACUUGAUAUACUAAUUUGAUGUCACCUGUCACCGUGUGUACUCCGGUUUCUCAAUAAAAUGUCUCAACAACUCAAACAAACACAAAACCAAGUGAUGCAUUCAUAAGCAUAAUUAUUAGAUCCUUUUGAUCUUUUUGGCUCUUCUACUGAGAAAAGACUGAUUGUAGUUUCUUUAUUCAAAACAACAACAACAACAACAAAACAAAAACUCAAAUCCUUGCAAGUGUUUUGUCUUAUUUCUAACAGAAAACACUUUAUUAAGCUUAAUUUAAGCCACAGUCACCCGACAAGUCCAGAAAAUGGCUUUUGGUCGAGAUAUACACUAGCAUGACAAAACUGUCCAGCAAAAGGGUAGGAUCAGUUUGAGAUGAUCUCAAAACUCCUUACAUUGUUUUAAAGAUAAGAUAAGAUAAGGUAAGAUGAGGUGAGAUUAGAUAAGAUAGAACGGUAUAACAAUAGAGGAAAUUGUUGCCUGAGUUACACAACAGAGUGUAAAAUUUAAUGACAGAUGAAUGUUUCAAGGUUGAGGGUUAAAUGGAAAAAAAGAUUUGCAGAUCCAAAAAUAAGAUUGUACUCGCAGUUUCCAGGGAAGAAUUAUGGGGUCUGAAUUCCCUGCAGGGAGGCUCCCUUAUAAACAUAAUACUUCACCUCAUUCUUCUCCUGAUACUGUGUAACUUUUCUGAAUGAGGUCAGUCAUUUGAGAUUUGGAAAUAUGAGCUUUUACAGCAACAAAGUUUAACUAACAAAGACCCAGAAAAAUCUGUGCCAAAACUGCCGCUGCACAGGUUACAAAACUAGACAAUACUUAACGUGCCAGAGGAAACAGUAAAAACCAUAACCAUGUGUAUCCAAGCAGCAGCCUCCAGGGCUGAAAAAUAAAGCCAACACAGAAGUGGUGAAAACUGCAGAUCCUGGUGCUGCCAAAUGAAGCUGGCUCAGAGAGCAGUCAAUCCCCACAGAUCUGUUUUUAAAAGUCCAACACAGAGCACAGUGAAACAUUUUUACAGCCUUGUACCAGAAUGUGUUUGUCUCAGUAGCUCAGUUACCCGCUCAUACCAAAUGACUGGUUGUUAAUUUAACUCACUCAUUGGAAUUAUACCGUGGUUCAAAGGGAUGCAUAAUAAACACAUGGCUGCUUUCAGAGACAGGUGGGUGACGCUAGUCUUCUGCCAGGAGUCACCUCCAUUAAUUUAAAGUGCUUCAGUUGACCUUGGUGUCCAACCCCUCUCAUCUAAAUAUGGUCACUUAUGACCCCCCAGAAAACCAGACAGCUGCAGCUGAGAGGUCUUACUCACGACUUCAGAAUAGUGGUCCACAACUAAUGAAUGAACCAGUAACUGCCUGGAUUUAUUCAAGUAUAAAACUGUAUAUUUUUUAUCACUAUUUUGGGGCAUUUUUGCCUUUCUUAUGGAAUAGCUUGAGGGAGACAAGAAAUGUGGGGAGAAAGGAGAGGGGUUGCCAUAAACCACAUCAUGCCAGCUUGGAGAAUCCAUCCUGAUAACAAAUUUUUGUGUUUUUUUUCUUCAUCUGUCAAGGUUUUUUUCUUUGCUCAGCUUCCAAGUAAUGCAUCCAUGCUGUUCAACUUCCAGCUCAAAGCCUGGCGUGAAACCACUGGAGCGUGUGCAGAAUGCUUAGACCAGUUUCAGUCUGAUUUAUCUGUAUGCAUGGAAGAGAAACGCCAACCAGAGUUAUCUAGG
rnacentral:lncRNA from 1 species